UUUUUAUACAUUUUUGGUGUUAAAAAACAUACAUAUGCAUUAUAUUAUUCCACAUUUUGAGCAAAAUUUGUCGUCUUUGGCACCAGAACAAUCUGAUCACACAGUGAGCAAAACAUUUUGGUAAAUGUCCUCAUAGGCGUACCGGGCGGGGGGGGGGGGCGGUAGCCCCCCCAGUUUUUGGGGCAGUCGGGCAAUAUUCGAUGAACAGUCGGGCAAUUUUGGUUUGCAAUAAAAAAAAUGGGACAAAUUCUGUCAAUUUUGUCUAAAAUUAAGUCAAUUUUUUUUUUUGGGGGGGGGGAGGUCUCCAAGAUAAUUUUUCCGGAAAAAAAUUUUUGGUACUAGUCGGGCAGAAUCCCGAAAAGUCGGGCAAUUUUCUUUCCGCCCCCCUAAUUUUUUCCUUCCGGUACGCCCAUGAAUGUCCUUCAACAAACACUAGCUUCUCGCUAGCUUCACAGCGCUACAAGAAUGGCGGGAAUGCGCGAGAUCUCCAACCACGAGUUAUUUUAAAAUUAACUUUAUU